rnacentral:rRNA from 1 species
CCUACGGGAGGCAGCAGUAGGGAAUAUUGGGCAAUGAGCGAGAGCCUGAACCAGCCACGUCGCGUGAAGGAUGAAGGAUCUAUGGUUUGUAAACUUCUUUUAUAUGGGAGUAAAGUUAGGAACGUGUUCCUUUUUAUAUGUACCAUAUGAAUAAGCAACGGCUAACUCCGUGCCAGCAGCGGCGGUAAGACGAAGGAUGCGAGCGUUGUCCGGAUUGGUUGGGUUGAAAGGGGGCGGAGGUGGUUAUGUAAGUAAGCGGGGAAAGUUAGUGGCCCAAACAUAGGAUUGCCGUUGAAACUGGUUGACUAGAGUAAAUUAGAGGUAGGCGGAAUGCGAGGUGUAGCGGUGAAAUGCGUAGAUAUCACGAAGAACACCGAAGGCGAAGGCAGCUUACUGAACUAUAACUGACGCUGAGGCACGAAAGCGUGGGGAGCAAACAGGAUUAGAUACCCUGGUAGUC